AACGAACGCUGGCGGCAUGCCCAACACAUGCAAGUCGAACGAGACCUUCGGGUCUAGUGGCGCACGGGUGCGUAACGCGUGGGAACCUGCCCUUAGGUUCGGAAUAACUCCCCGAAAGGGGUGCUAAUACCGGAUAAUGUCUUCGGACCAAAGAUUUAUCGCCUUUGGAUGGGCCCGCGUUGGAUUAGCUAGUUGGUAGGGUAAAAGCCUACCAAGGCGACGAUCCAUAGCUGGUCUGAGAGGAUGACACGCCACACUGGGACUGAGACACGGCCUAGACUCCUACGCGAGGCAGCAGUGGGGAAUAUUGGACAAUGGGGCAAGGCCUGAUCCAGCAAUGCCGCGUGAGUGAUGAAGGCCUUAGGGUUGUAAAGCUCUUUUACCCGGGAUGAUAAUGACAGUACCGGGAGAAUAAGCUCCGGCUAACUCCGUG
rnacentral:rRNA from 1 species